UGGGGAAUAUUGCACAAUGGGCGCAAGCCCGAUGCAGCCAUGCCGCGUGUGUGAAGAAGGCUUUCGGGUUGUAAAGCAUUUUCAGCGGGGAGGAAGGCGUUAAGGUUAAUAACCUUGGCGAUUGACGUUACCCGCAGAAGAAGCACCGGCUAACUCCGUGCCAGCAGCCGCGGUAAUACGGAGGGUGCAAGCGUUAAUCGGAAUUACUGGGCGUAAAGCGCACGCAGGAGGUCUGUCAAGUCGGAUGUGAAAUCCCCGGGCUCAACCUGGGAACUGCAUUCGAGACUGGCAGGCUAGAGUCUUGUAGAGGGGGGUGGAAUUCCAGGUGUAGCGGUGAAAAGCGUAGAGAUGUGGAGGAAUACCGGUGGCGAAGACGGCCCCCUGGACAAAGACUGACGCUCAGGUGCGAAAGCGUGGGGAGCAAACAGG
rnacentral:rRNA from 1 species